CAGUCGCCGCGGUAAUACAGAGGGUGCAAGCGUUAACCGGAAUCACUGGGCUUAAAGCGCGUGUAGGCGGAUGGGAGCGUCGGCCUCUGAAAUCCCCCGGCUCAACCGGGGAAGUGGAGCCGAAACGACCCGUCUGGAGGGACGUAGGGGGACCUGGAACUUCCGGUGGAGCGGUGAAAUGCGUUGAGAUCGGAAGGAACGCCCGUGGCGAAAGCGAGGUCCUGGACGUCUGCUGACGCUGAGACGCGAAAGCCAGGGGAGCGAACGGGAUUAGAUACCCCCGUAGUCCCUGUCUCUUAUA
rnacentral:rRNA from 1 species